rnacentral:rRNA from 1 species
UAAUGUAUGAGGAUCUGCCCGAUAGAGGGGGAUAACUACUGGAAACGGUGGCUAAUACCGCAUAAUGUCUACGGACCAAAGCAGGGGCUCUUCGGACCUUGCACUAUCGGAUGAACCCAUAUGGGAUUAGCUAGUAGGUGGGGUAAAGGCUCACCUAGGCGACGAUCUCUAGCUGGUCUGAGGGGAUGAUCAGCCACACUGGGACUGAGACACGGCCCAG